UUGGUCAUCUUUAUACUGUACUGUCUUUGAUUUGGUCAUCUUUAUUCUGUACUGUCUUUGAUUUGGUCAUCUUUAUACUAUACUGUCUUUGAUUUGGUCAUCUUUAUACUGUACUGUCUUUGAUUUGGUCAUCUUUAUACUGUACUGUCUUUGAUUUGGUCAUCAAAAAUAACCGCAAGAUGUCCAAGUUUGUUGAUUUAGUUUUGCUGCUGCCAUCUACGGAAGAUAUUUGAAAGAGGAACAAAGAUGAAAAAACUUCUCAAACUGAUGGAAUGACAACGUAAGAAGACAAAAAGGGAAAGUUGUUACAUUUUAAUUCAGAUUAUUAGCUUGAAUCAUUUGACAUGCUUAGGGAACAGUGUUCAGAACAAAAGGUUCACAUGCAACACAGAGACUUAGAAACCUGGAAAGACAAUCGUUUUAAAUAGUGUGUUAUCGAUACAAUGAUAGAGCCUAUGAUUCACACACACACACACACACGGCAGGUAGCCUAGUGGUUAGAGUGUAGAGGGGGCAGCGUAGCCUAGUGGUUAGAGUGUAGAGGGGGCAGCGUAGCCUAGUGGUUAGAGUGUAGAGGUGGCAGCGUAGCCUAGUGGUUAGAGUGUAGAGGGGGCAGCGUAGCCUAGUGGUUAGAGUGUAGAGGAGGCAGGUAGCCUAGUGGUUAGAGUGUAGAGGGGGCAGCGUAGCCUAGUGGUUAGAGUGUAGAGGGGGCAGCGUAGCCUAGUGGUUAGAGUGUAGAGGUGGCAGGUAGCAGAUAGCCUAGUGGUUAGAGUGUAGAGGUGGCAGGUAGCCUAGUGGUUAGAGUGUAGAGGGGGCAGCGUAGCCUAGUGGUUAGAGUGUAGAGGUGGCAGGUAGCCUAGUGGUUAGAGUGUAGAGGUGGCAGGUAGCCUAGUGGUUAGAGUGUAGAGGUGGCAGGUAGCCUAGUGGUUAGAGUGUAGAGGUGGCAGGUAGCCUAGUGGUUAGAGUGUAGAGGUGGCAGGUAGCCUAGUGGUUAGCGCUUUGGACUAGUAACCCGAAAGGUUGCACAAUUGAAACCCUGUAGCUGACAAAGUACA